rnacentral:misc_RNA from 1 species
AACGCAUAUGGCACCCGAGACUUCGGUCGAGGGUAUGUCUGCCUCAGAGUCGUCGUAAAACAUCCCCUCGGGUCUGGCUUAGCGGCCUCGAAGAGGGGGAGCUGGUUCUCCCAUCCCGCCCCCAAGGUGGGGCGAGGGAUGGGUCGACCGAAGGACAGACACGAAGGGACCGGUGGCCGUGGUGCCGCUGGAUGCCAAGAUUAGUUGGGAGGAGGGACGGCCUCGGCCGGCCCGUUAUCCGCACAACGUCUUGCCUCCAGUCAGGUCAGGCAGCCGUCCCCUCGCUUUCGCAGGAAAAAUUUUAUCACUCGACCUGAGUUCAGGCAAGAUCACCCGCUGAACUUAA